UGGCGGGCUCCCCUACUCGUCAGUCGAGCGGACAGAAGGGAGCUUGCUCCCGGAUGUUAGCGGCGGACGGGUGAGUAACACGUGGGUAACCUGCCUGUAAGACUGGGAUAACUCCGGGAAACCGGAGCUAAUACCGGAUAGUUCCUUGAACCGCAUGGUUCAAGGAUGAAAGACGGUUUCGGCUGUCACUUACAGAUGGACCCGCGGCGCAUUAGCUAGUUGGUGAGGUAACGGCUCACCAAGGCGACGAUGCGUAGCCGACCUGAGAGGGUGAUCGGCCACACUGGGACUGAGACACGGCCCAGACUCCUACGGGAGGCAGCAGUAGGGAAUCUUCCGCAAUGGACGAAAGUCUGACGGAGCAACGCCGCGUGAGUGAUGAAGGUUUUCGGAUCGUAAAGCUCUGUUGUUAGGGAAGAACAAGUGCAAGAGUAACUGCUUGCACCUUGACGGUACCUAACCAGAAAGCCACGGCUAACUACGUGCCAGCAGCCGCGGUAAUACGUAGGUGGCAAGCGUUGUCCGGAAUUAUUGGGCGUAAAGGGCUCGCAGGCGGUUUCUUAAGUCUGAUGUGAAAGCCCCCGGCUCAACCGGGGAGGGUCAUUGGAAACUGGGAAACUUGAGUGCAGAAGAGGAGAGUGGAAUUCCACGUGUAGCGGUGAAAUGCGUAGAGAAUGUGGAGGAACACCAGUGGCGAAGGCGACUCUCUGGUCUGUAACUGACGCUGAGGAGCGAAAGCGUGAGGAGCGAACAGGAUUAGAUACCCUGGUAGUCCACGCCGUAAACGAUGAGUGCUAAGUGUUAGGGGGUUUCCGCCCCUUAGUGCUGCAGCUAACGCAUUAAGCACUCCGCCUGGGGAGUACGGUCGCAAGACUGAAACUCAAAGGAAUUGACGGGGGCCCGCACAAGCGGUGGAGCAUGUGGUUUAAUUUCGAAGCAACGCGAAGAACCUUACCAGGUCUUGACAUCCUCUGACACCCUA
rnacentral:rRNA from 1 species